rnacentral:rRNA from 1 species
CCUACGGGAGGCAGCAGUAGGGAAUCUUCCACAAUGGGCGCAAGCCUGAUGGAGCAACGCCGCGUGGGUGAAGAAGGUCUUCUGAUCGUAAAACCCUGUUUGUACAGAAGAAAGUCCGUGAGAGUAACUGUUCACGUUUCUACGGUAUCUAACCAGAAAGCCACGGCUAACGACGUGCCAGCAGCCGCGGUAAUACGUAGGUGGCAAGCGUUAUCCGGAUUUAUUGGGCGUAAGGGGAACGCAGGCGGUCUUUUAAGUCAGAUGUGAAAGCCUUCGGCUUAACCGGUGUAUGGCCUCGGAUACUGGCAGGCUAGAGGGUAGAAGCGGAAAGUGGAACUCAAUGUGUAGCGGUGAAAUGCAUAGAGAUAUGACAGAACACCAGUUGCGAAAGCGGCU